rnacentral:lncRNA from 1 species
GGGACCAAGGGUAGCUGCAGUCUAUCUAUCUGCAGUCCAGUAGAGGGGUCAGAGGCAGGAAGGAGAGAGAGCAACUCCAGAAAGAACCACACCAGCAAGGAAUAACUCUGCUACUUUUCCAGAAAAUCACAUCAUCAGCAACUGACCAAGGGCAGAGAAUCAGAGAGAUGAUUGAUUCUCCAUGCCUGGCCUCUUUUGUUCCACAUAUGUUUGUGAAGUGUGUCCAUGAUGCUGUACACAGCGAUAGCUCACUCAUUGCUGAUAAUGAAGCCCAGCAGCUUACCCAUUUCACUGCAGUAAACAACAUAUUGCUUCUUGUUUGUGUGUCCUGAAUCACAGAGACAUGCACUGUACACUUCCGUGAGUUUGGACAGUUGCCUACAUUUAUACAACGACCACCUCUGGACUCACUGCUGUUCCAGCUUCUGCAAAUGCUAAGCUCAGCAUUUCCCCACACCAGGUCCGUGAGCUAAAGGUUUUAUUACAGCAUUUCCUAUGCAUGGUUGCAUGCAGUGGACAAUCUUGUCUGCCUGGUUUCAGUGCCUUUCAGACUUGUCCAAACUCUUGCAAGAAUCGAUUGAAUGUACUUAUUGCUGAAUAGAAUUCUAGUAAAAAGUGUUUCUCCAUUCACGA